AAGGCAUUACUUGAACACUUUCUUUUCGAUCAGGUACUUGGCGCAAACCACAGUCAUUUCCCUGGAGGAGGUGGGAGGAUUUCAGAAGUGGAAAAACCCUGCUAAAGCAGCCAUGCUGCCAUCAUCUGAAUGGAUUGAAGCUGAGUUAUGGAGUACUGGAUGGUUUGGCUGAGUGCCAUUGGAUGAUCAAACUUCUGCUAACUAGUUGACCUUCCAGAGAAUCCAACAGCACGCACCACUGGCUGGACAAACCGAGAUCCUCAUACAAUGCUUGAUCACUUUAGCCUGUAAAUAGAGCAAAGGAACCAAGAGAUUGGCUGCUGACUCUCAGAAAGAAAAUUCUGGAGACAGAUUCAAAAGAAUGAAUAAUUGAAGAAAAAUCUGUUGACGACAUUAACUAGGCCAUUUCUCCAUCCACAGUGCCAGCUUUUCCGAAUGGGACUCUUCAGUUAAUAAAUUUCAGUAAACACAA